UACGGAGGGUGCGAGCGUUGUCCGGAAUCAUUGGGCGUAAAGCGCGCGUAGGCGGCCAGAUAAGUCCGGUGUGAAAGUCACAGGCUCAACCUGUGAAUGCCGCUGGAAACUGUCUGGCUAGAGUCCGGAAGGGGCGAGUGGAAUUCCUGGUGUAGCGGUGAAAUGCGCAGAUAUCAGGAGGAACACCAAUGGCGAAGGCAGCUCGCUGGGACGGUACUGACGCUGAGGCGCGAAAGCGUGGGGAGCAAACAGG
rnacentral:rRNA from 1 species